rnacentral:rRNA from 1 species
UACGAGGGGGGCGAGCGUUGUUCGGAAUUAUUGGGCGUAAAGGGUGCGUAGGCGGUUUGGUAAGUCUUGUGUGAAAUCUACAGGCUCAACUUGUAGUCUGCACGAGAAACUGCCGGGCUUGAGUAUGGGAGAGGUGAGUGGAAUUCCUGGUGUAGCGGUGAAAUGCGUAGAUAUCAGGAGGAACACCGAUGGCGAAGGCAGGUCUCUGGGCUGACACUGACGCUCAUGCACGAAAGCGUGGGGAGCAAACAGG